GACGAACGCUGGCGGCGCGCCUAACACAUGCAAGUCGAACGAGCGAGAGAGAGCUUGCUUUCUCGAGCGAGUGGCGAACGGGUGAGUAACGCGUGAGGAACCUGCCUCAAAGAGGGGGACAACAGUUGGAAACGACUGCUAAUACCGCAUAAGCCCACGACCCGGCAUCGGGUAGAGGGAAAAGGAGCAAUCCGCUUUGAGAUGGCCUCGCGUCCGAUUAGCUAGUUGGUGAGGUAACAGCCCACCAAGGCGACGAUCGGUAGCCGGACUGAGAGGUUGAACGCCCACUUGGGGCGUGACCCCCGCCCCGGCCCCCCCGGGGGGGCGGCGGGGGGGAAUUUUAAACAGGGGGUGAAACCUGGAGCCCGCGACGCCGGGGGGAGAAAGAGGCUUUCCGGAUUGAAAACCCGGUUGUUGGAGAAAUAAAAGCACGCCCAUAAACAGGAAGGGGCGCCCUAAUCAGGCC
rnacentral:rRNA from 1 species